UGUUGUAGGGGAAGAGUCAGCGGUGCCAGAAGAUUUUGAUCAGGGGACUCAGCACCCCAGCGAGUAGGUUGUGACUCGGAUCCGUGAUUGAGUCAGUCUACAAUUUCUAGGCACUGGAUUUGUAGAGACCAUUGGGUGGAACGAGAAAUCAGAUCAGCAUGGAGUCUGAUUGCUGGAUAGAUAGAAGUUAAUCUAUCUUUUAUUUAUGGACAUUUGAAAUUAUGUAAUAAAUCAGUACAUUUUAGUUGGUUUGUUUUAAAUACAUUAAUUAUGGAUUUAUUGGAAUUUUUGUUUA